GGCCAUUUUCCAGUCCAGUUCCUAUUCCUCCACAAUAUUCAGUUCCGCUGGAUCAACGGACGUGAACUCACCCUCCUGCGAGAACAAGCCGCUGGCCUCGACAACCUUCCUCUGCGGGAUGUGGCUGAUCUUGAGCCGGUCGUCAUCGGUCAGCUCCCAGUCGAAUAUCUCGAGGUUCUGCUUCAGCCUCUCCCUGUUGUAGCUCUUGACGAUGCACGUCACUCCCUGCUCAUGUAUCCAUCGCAGCGCCACCUGUGCCACGGUCUUCCCCCUCGCCCUGGCUAUCUCCGCGAGCACCUCCGAGUCGAGCACGGCGUUGCCCCGCCCGUCCCAGUUCUGCCCUCCCAGCGGCGAGUAGGCGGCGACGUGGACGCCCCGGUCGGCGCAGUACGCCCGCAGCGUCCGCUGCUGCCACGCCGGGUUCAGCUCCACCUGGUUCACCGCGGGCGGGACCGCGGCGAUGGCCAGGACCUUGUCCAGGUGCCUGGUGGUGAAGUUGCUGACGCCGAUCGCCCUGGCGAGGCCCAGCCGCUGGCACUCCUCCAUGGCGCGCCACACGCCCGCCACGUCCAGCGGCACCGCGUCCUCCUUCCUGUUCGGGAACUUGGGCGGCCCGCCGGCCGGCCUGAGGCACACCGGCCAGUGGAUCAGGGACGGCAGCACGAGGUCCGCGUGGGUCUGCGAACACCACAGCUUGGACGUGACGAAGAGCUCCUCCCGGGACCUCAGGAGGCCGCGCCGCAGCGCCUCGGCCACGGCGUCGCCGAGCGGCUUCUCGGUGCCGUACAGGAAGGCCGUGUCGAAGUGGCGGAACCCCACCUCGAUGGCCGCCAGCACGGCGUCCCUGACGGCCUCGUGCACCACGGGGAACGACGCCGUGCCCAUGCCCACCAUCGGCAUCGGCUUUCCGUUGCCCGACCGCAGGGUCACCUCCGGCACCGCCGCCGCCGUCGUCCCCGUGGAUGCCAUGCUGAUGCGGUCAAGUAUGGCGCGCUGCAGUUGGAGGUGCGUCUAGUCUAGGUGUGCGGUGCGGAACAGGGAGGGACAGGGGUGCGCGAGCCAGAGCCUUGAGCCCGUGCUGGUAUGUGGACAGGCGACGUGUGAGCUCUCGGUACUUCAUCGCGUUGGCAUUCAGCAGAUGGGACCCGACGGGGACUUUUACCAUCGGAGUAGUGUUUUGACGUCACCAGUUACGCUUCCACAGGUGAUAACAGUGUGCGUUUAAUUUGGAGCUCUUGCCGUGGCUUGCUUUGUCUGCGCAAAAGAAAACCAGCGUUUGGUGAAAGGGAGAACAUUUUGGAUCUUCCCGAGGUUUCCAGGGCUUGACAACCCCUCCACGAGGAUGAAAUCGGCCACACAAUUGCCGGACGACCGCAAGACAAAGCUUGGGCCUAGACGGCUUCGUAUGCCCUUUUUUUUCUUCUUCUUCUUCAAGUAACGAUGCUCGUAGAUCAUAAUGCCAACUACAGCAACGCCGUGCAUAAAGACAUGUAUAACACCGUUUUGUAACGUAGAUGUACUGUCUUCAAAAAGAAGUUUAAA
rnacentral:misc_RNA from 1 species